UCAAGUGUCUUAAGGGCAUUUGGUGGAUGCCUUGGCAUGCACAGGCGAUGAAGGACGUGAUACGCUGCGAUAAGCGUCGGGGAGGUGCGAAUACCCUUUGAUCCGACGAUUUCCGAAUGGGGCAACCCACCUUAGAUGACUAGAAAAUCUGUUUUGUUGGAGCAACGCUGGAUGGGUUUACACCCAUACAGACCGCUAGGUCGUCGGCCCAUGUGGGCCGCCCCCGCGGAGCGCCAGCAUUCCUCUGGAAUGCGUACGGCGCGUGAGCGAGAACAGCACAGCUUUCUAGUCAUCAUAAAUAAGGUAUCUAACCUUGAAUACAUAGGGGUUAGAAGCGAACCUGGGGAACUGAAACAUCUAAGUACCCAGAGGAAAGGACAUCAAACGAGACUCCGCUAGUAGUGGCGAGCGAACGCGGACCAGGCCAGUGGCUUUUGUGAAUAAAGUGGAACGAGUUGGAAAACUCGACCGAAGUGGGUGAUAGUCCCGUACACGUAGAAUAGCAGAAGUCCUUGAGUAGGGCGGGACACGUGAAAUCCUGUCUGAACAUGGGUCGACCACGAUCCAAGCCUAAGUACUCGUGCAUGACCGAUAGCGAACCAGUACCGUGAGGGAAAGGUGAAAAGCACCCCGACGAGGGGAGUGAAACAGUACCUGAAACCGGAUGCCUACAAACAGUUGGAGCCCAAGGUUUGUCCUGGGUGACAGCGUACCUUUUGUAUAAUGGGUCAGCGACUUAGUGUAUCGAGCAAGCUUAAGCCGGUAGGUGUAGGCGCAGCGAAAGCGAGUCUGAACAGGGCGUUCAGUUCGAUGCAUUAGACCCGAAACCAAGUGAUCUAGCCAUGAGCAGGUUGAAGGUACGGUAACACGUACUGGAGGACCGAACCCAUAUCUGUUGCAAUAGAUCGGGAUGACUUGUGGCUAGGGGUGAAAGGCCAAUCAAACUUGGAGAUAGCUGGUUCUCCGCGAAAUCUAUUUAGGUAGAGCGUCGACCGAAUACCCCCGGGGGUAGAGCACUGGAUGGGCUAUGGGGACUCACCGUCUUACUGAUCCUAACCAAACUCCGAAUACCGGGGAGUACUAGUCGGCAGACACACGGCGGGUGCUAACGUCCGUCGUGGAGAGGGCAACAACCCUGACCACCAUCUAAGGUCCCUAAGUUAUGGCUAAGUGGGAAAGGAUGUGAGGAUCCCAAAACAACCAGGAUGUUGGCUUAGAAGCAGCCAUCAUUUAAAGAAAGCGUAACAGCUCACUGGUCUAAAUAAGGGUCUUUGCGCCGAAAAUGUACCGGGGCUCAAGCCAUACACCGAAGCUGUGGAUGCACGUAUGUGCGUGGUAGCGGAGCGUUCCGUAAGCCUGUGAAGGGACAGUCGUGAGACAUCCUGGAGGUAUCGGAAGUGAGAAUGCUGACAUGAGUAACGAUAAAGGGAGUGAGAGACUCCCUCGCCGAAAGUCCAAGGGUUCCUGCUUAAAGUUAAUCUGAGCAGGGUUAGCCGGCCCCUAAGGCGAGGCCGAAAGGCGUAGUCGAUGGGAACCACGUUAAUAUUCGUGGGCCUGCAGGUGGUGACGGAUCGCGUGUGUUGUGAGGUCUUAUUGGAUUGAUCUUGCAGCGAAGCGGUUCCAGGAAAUAGCUCCUGCAUAUAGACCGUACCCUAAACCGACACUGGUGGACUGGUAGAGAAUACCAAGGCGCUUGAGAGAACUGCGUUGAAGGAACUCGGCAAAAUGCACGCGUAACUUCGGAAGAAGCGUGACCUCACUAUGGGCAACCAUAGGGGGGUGGCACAGACCAGGGGGUAGCGACUGUUUACCAAAAACACAGGGCUCUGCGAAGUCGCAAGACGACGUAUAGGGUCUGACGCCUGCCCGGUGCUGGAAGGUUAAGAGGAGAGGUGCAAGCCUUGAAUUGAAGCCCCAGUAAACGGCGGCCGUAACUAUAACGGUCCUAAGGUAGCGAAAUUCCUUGUCGGGUAAGUUCCGACCUGCACGAAUGGCGUAACGACUUCCCCGCUGUCUCCAACGCAGACUCAGUGAAAUUGAAUUCCCCGUGAAGAUGCGGGGUUCCUGCGGUUAGACGGAAAGACCCCGUGCACCUUUACUAUAGCUUUACACUGGCAUUCGUGACGACAUGUGUAGGAUAGGUGGUAGACUUUGAAGCAGGGGCGCCAGCCUUUGUGGAGUCACCCUUGAAAUACCACCCUUGUUUUUAUGGAUGUCUAACUGCGGCCCGUUAUCCGGGUCCAGGACCGUGUAUGGUGGGUAGUUUGACUGGGGCGGUCGCCUCCUAAAGAGUAACGGAGGCGCGCGAUGGUAGGCUCAGAACGGUCGGAAAUCGUUCGUCGAGUGCAAUGGCAUAAGCCUGCCUGACUGCAAGACUGACAAGUCGAGCAGAGACGAAAGUCGGUCAUAGUGAUCCGGUGGUCCCGCGUGGAAGGGCCAUCGCUCAACGGAUAAAAGGUACGCCGGGGAUAACAGGCUGAUGACCCCCAAGAGUCCAUAUCGACGGGGUUGUUUGGCACCUCGAUGUCGACUCAUCGCAUCCUGGGGCUGGAGCAGGUCCCAAGGGUAUGGCUGUUCGCCAUUUAAAGCGGUACGUGAGUUGGGUUCAGAACGUCGUGAGACAGUUCGGUCCCUAUCUGCCGUGGGUGUAGGAAUAUUGA
rnacentral:rRNA from 2 species